GGCGGCGUGCCUAAUACAUGCAAGUAGAACGCUGAAGGAGGAGCUUGCUUCUCCGGAUGAGUUGCGAACGGGUGAGUAACGCGUAGGUAACCUGCCUGGUAGCGGGGGAUAACUAUUGGAAACGAUAGCUAAUACCGCAUAAGAGUAGAUGUUGCAUGACAUUUGCUUAAAAGGUGCAAUUGCAUCACUACCAGAUGGACCUGCGUUGUAUUAGCUAGUUGGUGGGGUAACGGCUCACCAAGGCGACGAUACAUAGCCGACCUGAGAGGGUGAUCGGCCACACUGGGACUGAGACACGGCCCAGACUCCUACGGGAGGCAGCAGUAGGGAAUCUUCGGCAAUGGACGGAAGUCUGACCGAGCAACGCCGCGUGAGUGAAGAAGGUUUUCGGAUCGUAAAGCUCUGUUGUAAGAGAAGAACGAGUGUGAGAGUGGAAAGUUUCAACACUGUGACGGUUUCUACC
rnacentral:rRNA from 1 species